rnacentral:rRNA from 1 species
AUUGAACGCUGGCGGCAUGCCUAACACAUGCAAGUCGAACGGUAACAGCGGAGCUUGCUCCGGCUGACGAGUGGCGGACGGGUGAGUAAUGCAUAGGAAUCUGCCCAGUAGCGGGGGACAACCUGGUGAAAACCAGGCUAAUACCGCAUACGCCCUACGGGGGAAAGCGGGGGACCUUCGGGCCUCGCACUAUUGGAUGAGCCUAUGUCUGAUUAGCUUGUUGGUGGGGUAACGGCCUACCAAGGCAACGAUCAGUAGCUGGUUUGAGAGGAUGAUCAGCCACACCGGGGACUGAGACACGGGCCCGGACUCCUACGGGAGGCAGCAGUGGGGAAUAUUGCACAAUGGGCGCAAGCCUGAUGCAGCAAUGCCGCGUGUGUGAAGAAGGCCUGCGGGUUGUAAAGCACUUUCAGUAAGGAGGAAAACUUGCAGGUUAAUAACCUGUGAGCUUGACGUUACUUACAGAAGAAGCACCGGCUAACUCCG